GAUCCUACGGGGGGCAGCAGUGGGGAAUAUUGGGCAAUGGGCGCAAGCCUGACCCAGCAACGCCGCGUGAAGGAAGAAGGCUUUCGGGUUGUAAACUUCUUUUGUCAGGGACGAAGCAAGUGACGGUAACUGACGAAUAAGCCACGGCUAACUACGUGCCAGCAGCCGCGGUAAUACGUAGGGGGCAAGCGUUAUCAGGAUUUAUUGAGUGUAAAGGGCGUGUAGGCGGGAAU
rnacentral:rRNA from 1 species